AUGUGCGGCGAGGAAACAAGCAUGGCUGUCGGCGGCACUGCCGUGUCAACACAGAUGCCAUUGACCGGGGCGGCGUUGAAGCACAUUUCGAUGGAGAUCAGGACGCUGUUAUUCAAGAUCGAACAAAAAGUGGCGAUGGAGGCUCUGCUCAAUCGACUGGCAAAGUGGCUCCCCAAGCCCCUGGAUGGACUAAGAGAUGGCGGAGAGAGCUGCGGCCCUAAGGCCUUCUAUGGGUGGCCGGGCAUCGAGCAUGACCCAGAUGAACAAGCAGGCAUCUGUGAUUGCAGACCAAGCAGAGAGUGGCGAUGCAACUUCCGCUCAAUCUACUGGCAAAAUGGAUCCACAGGUGUCGGGAUGGACCAAAAGGGUUAA
rnacentral:rRNA from 1 species